ACUCUUAUAUGGCUCAUUUCAUGCAUCGGUUUAAAGGCUUGACCAAGGCAUCAAGGCUAAACUCAAGUCGGCACAAAGGACGCAAAAGGCCAAGAAAUCAGGGAGAUUGAUGAAGGGGAGUGAUCAAGCAAUUAGGCGGGGACCAUUGGCAAAGAGAAGAGGACACGUGCCGAUACAAAGGACACCAUCCUGCUAUGAAGGGACCACUGUCUUCUAGAAAGAGGAAUACGUGUCGACCAAAGAGACGCGCGGUCCUGAAAGAAAGCGAAUAUUCGCCGACAAGGUUGUUAUCCCUGCUGGAGGAUCGCUGCGGCGUGCCUAUAAAUAGAGGCUGCGACACCACAAUAGAGAAUCCUUUAUCCACUUUCUAGUUAGUUCUUAGUUUUAGCUUAGUUUAGUUAACUUUCAUUCCAGUUCUUAGCUAGCUUAGUUUAGAAUUUCAGUUAGUGAAGCGUAAGUGAUUCAGUGCGAUAGAGGCUUCAGUUCUGUCCGGCACAGUUUCCAGUUUCCGACCGAGAAUCGCUCGGCCUUUACUAGCUUUAUGUUCUUUCAAUUUCGUAGCUAGUUUUCGUUUUGGACGAGAUCUAUUCUGGAAUCAAAGUUCUUUUGUUUUCGGAUCUUCAA